AAGCUCGUAGUUGAAUUUCGGAAUCAAUAUACCGGUCGUGCCUCAGGUAUGAACUGGUCUUAUUGGUUUCUCCCUUCUGACGAACCAUGAUGUCAUUAAUUUGAUGUCGUGGAGAAUCAGGACUGUUACUUUGAAAAAAUUAGAGUGUUUAAAGCAGGCUAACGCUUGAAUACAUUAGCAUGGAAUAAUGAAAUAGGACGUUCGAUCCUAUUUUGUUGGUUUCUAGGAUCGACGUAAUGAUUAAUAGGGAUAGUUGGG
rnacentral:rRNA from 1 species